GUCAAUCUAUUUUCUCUGGCUCUUAUCUACCCGGCAGUAGAUUUGUUUACUUGAAGCAAACAUUAAGCUAGACAAACACAUUUCUCUUCAUUGCUGCAUGGGCUCUCAGGAAGACGUUGUGAAAGAGCCCUCCGUCCAUCUCCGACAUCAGGGUCGGUUAAGGACACGAACAUUCAAUUAAAUACGUGUUACAAGCCAAUCUUCACAUUUAUUUAAGUUCCGUAUCCAUAUUUGAUCUUGUAAUGUAAUUGUCGAGGAUAAGAUUCAAGUAGGGAAAGGAACUUAUUUAAUUCGUGUUUAGUGGUGCCUUAAGUCAGUGUCGUUAACAUAUCAACCUGAUGUAGAGCAGAGAUCAGAGUCUCAGUCUGCGGAAAAUACGCCAUGUAGGAACCAUAUUCAGACUUGGUCAUCUACGUGAUACAACGCGAAAAUUCUUGACAAAAAACAGCGCCAUUCGCCAGUUUCUUAAGUCGUCGCAGACAAUUACAUUUUCCGGAACUAUAAUACAGUGUUCUUAUAGAAGAUUAUUUGGUGCCCCUCAAAAAACUUAACUUCGUUCUUGCGAGAAAGGAUUAACACAUCCCAAAGCCAUGUCGUGGCUUAAAUUCUGGGGAAAGAAGUCUUCGAAGAAGUCACGGAACGAACUUGCCAGGUCCGAAUCUUUUAAUGAGGAAUCGGGCUUGCCGAAUGAAUCCGAAAAGGAUAAAAAUGGCCGACUCCGACACUCUAUGUCGAUUUCUAGGUCGGGUCGGUUCAAACAGAAGAACAAACAACGAUCCGGUAUCCUGGACAAACCGGAGUUCUUCGCCAAUGGGAAUGAAAAUGGUGAGGACGGACAAAAAGAGAACUACGAACAAUCAGGAGUGAAUCAAUCCAGUGGUCCUUAUAGCAAUCAAAGCACUAACUAUACUGCAAUUAGCGUUAACUCGCACGAGAGCAAAAGGACUCCGCCAAGCACGUGCCGUGAGGUGUCAUCCCGACAACCAAUCACAGCGCGGAAUUAUGAAGGACAUCAAACGGUUCUGUGAUUUUGUGUAUAUAUUUAUUUUAUUUUGAAACAGUCGUACAAUUGUAAAUGUGUUCUGAACUUUUGCUACAACCUGUGUAUAUAGUCAUCCGUUGCCAUUCAGUGGUGCCUUAAUAGUGAUAGUACUUUGGAACGAACGGAAAAAAAUGGGAGUUUCCUUUAUAACCAUUUUGGUAAUAUGUGUACUCAUAUGUGAUAUGAAGUGAAUAGUUUUGAGUUAACAUCUGCGAGAGCGAGAGUUAAGCGUGUGUAACAUUAGAACAACCAUUGAUCACCACGGCACUCGUGCUUGGGAAUAUGCGCGUUUUUAACUUGAAUCAUUUGAUCCAUUGACCUGUACUUGUAUAUGAGAACCACGUGUGCAUUAGAAAAAGUAGCGUAUGGUGCAUGUUUGCACGCUUAAAAGGCAUGUUUGUACGCGUAUAAUGCAUGUUUGCACGUGUAUAUUGCAUGUUUGCACGUGUGCACAUGCCGAAAGUGACUGAGUGUAAACAUUCGGCAAAAACACAUGUUUUUAUUAUAUGCUGUACAUGUAAAAUUUGUCACAAAUGCUCGUAGCCUAAGGGACAGUUUGGUUAUGUUUUGAUUGAAAAGCUUUGAAGAAAGUUCAUUAAGCACGUUCGGUCUGCAUUGUCGGAAGCCUUCAUAUCCCAUGCACUAACACGUGCAGGGCUUAACCAUCCGUCAAGUUCCACGUGUCCACGUUUGACUGGAGAGGCACGACUUUCACGAUCGACUUACAAUGACGUAACAGGGAGAUUUCACUUGCUAAGCUUUAGUACAAAUUCUGAAGGGUGAGGUGCUUUGAACAUUCAGGAGAAUAUUAGAUGCUUCUCGCUUAAAUCAUUACCAAUCCGGUUUUCUAAAAUUGCUUUCCCUUUUCUUUUUAAAUAUAAUAUAUUUCAUAUUUUAUUUAUAUUUUUGUUAAUAGAAUCAGUAAUGAGAUCGCUAUACUUGUACAAAAUCUCAUGCAAAAAAUGUUCGGUAAACAUUCAGUGUAUACCUGCAGCUUAUGUUGCUGUUUUCCUUCGUUUAAUGUUUACAAUUUGCUUUUUACAUCAUUUCCGAAUGUUAAUGAAAUUUUAUUAUAUUAUCUUCAAAAUUGUGAGUGAUUAUAACUUUUUUCUAUAAAACAUAUAUUAUUACCAAAGUUCUUAAGGAAAAGGAUACAAUAAUAAUUCAACAAUCCAUCAAGCACGCAAUUAAACAUUUAAUUGAACUAUUCAUGUACAUUUGAUAGGAAGUUCAUCUCACAAAAUCUAUUUAAAGUCGAUAAUUUAUUGAUCAAAUCGACGAAUGUGUUUAAGAUGAUAGGUUUAACAUGUUUUGAUGUUUGUUGAAAACCCGAUGAGGACUAUUUCAUGGCUAUCACGGUUGAAUCACUCCACGAUUUAUGUACUUAUGUACUAUCAAAUGACAGCCUCAAGUGUUUGAUUAGUAUUCAAAUUGGUGAUUGUGGUGAGCACGUAGGCUGGUAAGGUAAACAUCUACCCCGAUAUUGUAAACAUUUUAAUUUGACGUACAUGUCACUUGCACAAUCUGCAUUUUUAUUUGUCUGGGCAACUUUGUAAACACUGGCUUAUUCUGCAUGUAAAGAUAACUUUCCUCAUUAAGUCCAAAUUAAUUUUAAUGUUUUCGACUUUCACCUCGCCCUGGCACUGAACUUAGGACCUUCUGAUAACUACAUAAAUGGGCUUUUAUCUUUUUCUUAAGCCCCUGGUUUCAGCACCCGAAACAUUUCGACUUGUUAUAAAUUAAUUAUACCCCAUUAUGCUUUUCUGACUUCCUGCUCCGGAUAGCUACAGUUUAAGCGAAUAGCAUCUUCAUUUCCAAGCUUCCAAAACUUAAUUUGACUUACUUCUGACAUCACAGAUGAGAACUUUUGCAUGAAGCAUUUGACUCUACCGUACCAGAACAGAACAUACUAUAUUAGAAAAGAACAGACUGUUCUAGAACAGAACAUACUACGACUGAACAAACUAUAAUAAAAGCAUUGAAGAAUCCUUAAGCAUUUGACUCACCUGUACCAGAAGAGUACGUACUAUUAUGGAAUAGAGUAGAACACACCAGAAAUGAACAUACUAUAUAACAUAACAGAACAGAACAGAAUGUACCAUAUUAGAACAGAACUUGCCAGAACCGAAUAAACUAAAACAAAACAAAGCACUCUUUACUAGAAUAGAACAGAAUAUACCAAUGCUGAACAGAGCAAAUAUAUAAACCAGUUCUUGUGACAUACAUUUAAAUAACUCUUAAACGACUUUUAGUGGCUUUUGAUGUUUCCUAAUUUUAGGGCUGUAGAGAAAUCAUUUAUCAUAGUACAUACUUCACUGUGUUUUGGUGAAUGAGGGCUAUGAAAAUCACUGAAGAUUCGUGUGUACGCGUAUUAAUGCACCUACUUGUUGUAGCGUAGCGCUAAUGAACAAUAUAUAUUAUAUUACAUUGUAGAAAUGCUAGUCCCCAAGUUCAUUAUUGUUCGUUAUCAUGUCCUGAUUUGUUAAAGAUUUGUACUUGAGAUAAGCUGUCUUACUCUGUGCUAUCUUUAAAUGUAUCAUUGUAUUUGUCUUUUUUUUAAAUGGCGUGGCGUGUCCCAUUUAUAAGCCCGUGAGAAAAGAAAUCAUAGAAAUCUUUGUCCUACAAAAUAAUUGUGUUUUAAUGUCUCACCUUUAAGUGUUUUUCAAAUGAAGCAUUGUAGAUAUUACAUGUUUGUUUGGUCUGCUUUUUCAUUAUGUUCAUUUAUUUGAAGUUUUAAUUAAGAACUGAAAUAUUCAUGAGUAGUUUGACAGGCGCAUUAACUGGUGAAUCAUUUUUGGGAUGCUGUCAGAACUUUCGUAUUUUAAUUUUGACAACUUGUUUCAUAUGCACUCACGGGAAGUUUUAUCAUUACAAAUUUAAAAGAAAAAAACAUGUAUAAGUAUAAGUCAGUAUUAUGAGUCAUCUGGUAUCUGCAUGACAUUAUCAAUUAUCUUGCAACGCGAGCGAUAUCAGUGUGAACAUAUUUGCAGAAUGCUGAGUUUACCUCAUUCAAAGAAACAAGAUACAGAUAGAUGAUGAAUGUGUUUAAAACUAGUGUUCAUGCAUGAAAAAUACAGACAUUAUAUACCAUAUAUGGCUGUCCGACACCUUUUAUUGUAAAACAAUGUAAAUAUGUUUAAAAUUCAAUAUGCUAUUCAUCGAGAUGCUUUCUGUCAUAAUAGGCCAUCCUUCAAGAUAUUUGUUUGCAUCUGCCUUACCGACACAACAAAAAGGCUUUGAAUGCCCUUUUUUGGUGUCCAGGGCCUUAUUGUAUUGUAUGUUGUUUGUAGUUUUUCAGUCAGUCAUAAAAGGGAAGGAUAUCCAACCCACCGACCAAAGGAACAAAGUAUUGGUCGGAGCACCGCAAACAAAUAUCUUAGCUCAGUCAUAAAAGAGGAUUUCCAGCCCACCGACCAAACGGAACAAGUCUUGGUCGGGGCACUGCAAACAAAUAUAUUUUAAGGACUGCCUCACCAUGCAUGCAUUGUUCGAAGAUAUUUGUAUUUGAUUGUAGCUAUGAUUUUUGUGCCACACUGGUACCUAUGGACAAACAUAUCAUUGUUGAUUUUGUCUCAAUGAAAUAUAAUUAUAUAAUAAAGUGCUUGAUGAUA